rnacentral:rRNA from 1 species
GGUCCUACGGGGGGCAGCAGUGAGGAAUAUUGGUCAAUGGUCGGGAGACUGAACCAGCCAAGCCGCGUGAGGGAUGAAGGUACAGAGUAUCGUAAACCUCUUUUGUCAGGGAACAAAGGCGGGGACGUGUCCCCGGAUGAGUGUACCUGAAGAAAAAGCAUCGGCUAACUCCGUGCCAGCAGCCGCGGUAAUACGUAGGUGGCGAGCGUUAUCCGGAAUGAUUGGGCGUAAAGGGUGCGUAGGCGG